UCAUCUCUUUUGUAAUAGUUAUCUUAACAAGUAAAGCUGAAAUGAAAGAAUCUGCCGGUGUUAUGGAUGGAAGGUGCUAUUUAAACAGAGAAAGGAUCUUCUUUCUCUUUGCCUUUUUUGCUCUGAUUUCUGAUGGUCACUAUAGCAACAGGAACCAAAGAGAUGAAGAACUGGAAAACAUGCACUUCACUAUGACAAGUUCAAUUUACAGCCAGCUCAGCAAUGUAACAAAUCUGUGUCAUACUUAAUGAGAAGCUGUGCAGCAGGGCAGGCGUGAUGGGAAGACAGAGUUAAGACUGAGAUAUGAAACAGAGAACUCAGCACCCUCCAGUUUUGUCUUUUGUUCACCCAGCUUCAUAUAUGUUUGAGACAAGGAUAAUGUGGAUGGUCACUGCAGUGCCCUUUUUGUGGGCUGGGAUUUCUAUAACCCAUGCUUUUUCCAAAGGAAACUUUCCUGGCUGCACCAUUCGUGUGUCGGAGGAUGUGGAGCUGUUUGUGCCUGAGAGCCUGAGCAGAGCUCAAAUGAGAAUUCUAAAGGCAACACAAGCCCCCAGGACAUUGUUUUCCAGUCCAUGAGCAGAAGCUUUUGGCUGCUGCAGAAGUUCCCCUCUGUCUCAUCUGAAGCUGCUGUAAAGCAUAAAACGGAAUGAUCCCCUAAAAUGGAAUCACCAGGGAGAGCAACCCCAAUGGACACCUUUCCUGCCUGUCAAAAUCCCCUCUUUGGAAGGAAUGGGCACAGGGAGUGCAUUCAGCAUUUGCCAAUGCCCUGAUGUUCCCCCACCCAAAGAGAAUUAAUGGCUGAGCUGGAAUGAAGAGCACAGCACAGAGAGCAGGCAUGGCCCAGACCUCACAGCACUAAUUAUGCCCUUAAAGGGACUGAAUUGCUAAUUUUGGACAGUCACGGGAGCUGCUCUGGAAAUGCUUGCUAGAGCAAAUGCAAAUAUAUCAUUACAACACUGAAUUAAGGGUCAAGGAAAAUACUGUUGCUAAGAAGCUGGACACACUGAAGAUAUUCAAGACUGAUGGACCAGAACCUCUUGCAUCCAUACCUGUGACAAAUGGAAAAGGUCAGGAUUAAAUGAAAGCAUGAUUGUGUGCUGUGCCAAACCCUUCCCAGAUGCUAAGCAAAAAAUUAUUGUGUUUUUUUUUUUUUUUUUUUACUUCUUACAAACAGUAGAAAUUUACAAAAACACAGUAAAUAUUUUUCAACUACAGAAACGCCUUGCAAAAUGCUGAAAUUGUAUGAAUGGUUUCAGUGCUCUGGUUUAGCUGACAAAAAGUGGUAUUUGGUCAGAGGUUGGGCUCGGUGACCUUGGAGGUCUUUUCCAACCUUAAUGAUUCUGUGUUUCUAUGACUCUACUUUCAAGGUAAUAAUUUAAAAAAAAAAAAAAAAAAGGAGAAAAAGCAAAAAAGUUAACAUUUUUAAUACUAAUUUACAUGGUAAUUUACCAGUUCAGCAGGAUGGAGUUUGUCGAGCAUAAGGGCGUGAAGACUGUUAAUUGCUUUUCUUUUUAUGACCUUACUACCACCCAACGUAUAAGUAUUAAUUCCUUUUUUUUUUUUUUUUUUCCUUAAAAGACAAAGUUGAAGGGGGAAGCAGCUUGAACCUACUGGCUAGUCUGGGAAUGAGGAUCUGCUCGCUGCUGGUGCCAUCCCCCCCCUCGGUGGUGGCCUUCACCUCGAUGAUAUAAUCGUCGUUGGACUGGAGCCACAGCUCGGCCGUCGUCUGCUCCGUGCUCAGCACCUUCACGCUGCUCUGGCUGCUGGUCCUGUACAAAACCUGCAACACAGGCAACAUCCUCCUCUAGGACCUGCCCUGCCAGUUUUGAGCUGGGCUUCUCAGAAUCCAGGUAACUCCCCACCUUCUUUCCAUGAACAGUCAGAUCAAAACUCAUCUGAUUAUACUUCAAAAAUAGACACAAAAAUGUACGAGUGAGACUUAAAGAAAUUAUUCUGAAGUCAAACAACCACUCACAGGGAAUGGGUGCCCAGGAGACCUCGAUGGCCGAGGAGGACAGGCUGGUGGCAGACACUCCAGAGGGGGCUGUGCUGGGCUCUGCAUUGGGAAACCAAGGAAGGAGAGGUGACAAACAGAACUGGGGACUGUGCAAAUAAACAUAUGAACAGAAGAUCUCAUUUCUAUGAACUGUUGCUGUUCUCUGAUGGAACAGCUCACAGUAAAUAUUUGGAAGCAACUCAAUCCUGUACCUUCUUCAGCUGAAUAAACCGUGGUGACUGAA